rnacentral:rRNA from 1 species
GACAGAGGGUGCAAACGUUGUUCGGAAUUACUGGGCGUAAAGCGAGUGUAGGCGGUCUGCUAAGUCGGAUGUGAAAGCCCCGGGCUCAACCCGGGAAGUGCAUUCGAAACUGGCAGGCUAGAGUAUCGGAGAGGUUGGUGGAAUUCUCGGUGUAGAGGUGAAAUUCGUAGAUAUCGGGAAGAACACCGGUGGCGAAGGCGGCCAACUGGACGAAUACUGACGCUGAGACUCGAAAGCGUGGGGAGCAAACAGG